GAGGGUACAGCUCAGUGGUAGAGCAUGUGCUUAGCAUGCACGAGGUCCUGGGUUCAAUCCCCAGUACCUCCA
rnacentral:tRNA from 1 species